rnacentral:lncRNA from 1 species
UGCAACCUCCACCUCCCGGGUUCAAGUGAUUCUUGUGCCUCAGUCUCCCAAGUAGCUGGGAUUACAGGCACCCACCAGCACAGCAGCUAAUUUCUUUUUUUUUCUUUUUUUUUUUUUUGUAUUUUUAGUAGAGGCAAGAUUUCUCCAUGUUGGCGAGGCUAGUCUCAAACUCCUGACCUCAAGUGAUCCACCCGCCUCGGCCUCCCCAAAGUGCUGGGAUUAUAGGCGUGAGCCACUGCGCCUGGCCCAGGCUCAGGUUUUUCAAAGCCUGAAAUUAUGUCAAUUUUGGACACAAUCUUUAAGAAAAAGAGAUACAGUUACAUGUACAGAAUUAGGGCCAGGGCCUUUCCCCUAAGCUAAAACUUGGACAGCCUCAGGGUGAACCCCAUGUGAGCUAACACUGAAAGAAAGACUGGCGCUGAUGACAGGAACCUUCUUCCAGGCAGGGGGAACAGCCGCGGAAAAGCUUCGAGGUGGCAAAGAGCCGGGAGAGUUCUGUGUGACUGCAGCUUGGCAGGGGAUCCAGGAGAGGCUGGAGGCCCAACAGGCCGGACCAGGAAGUGCCAGAAGAUGCUUCCAAUGUGGGCCUGCCAGCUCCAGCUGACAGCACCAGGCACUGUCCCAGACACCACCUGAAAAACAAUCAAAGGCAGUGAACAAACCAUGAAUCCCUCAGGAAAUACAGACAGUUAAACAGUACACGGAGGAAUGCACAGCCUUGCUGAUCGAAUGAGAAAAAAAAAUCGAUAAAACAAGCCCAGUGCUGCAAAGGAUGCGGGGAAAAUAACACAUCCCUUUGCUGUAAACAGAUUCCGAUUUUGAAGAUGCUUCUGUCUGCAUGGAAAAAGCCCCACGCAGCUGCCUGACCCCCCGACCUCGAAUAUUAUCUUGAGGCGGGGUUCUGCAUCUGAGGAAAUAACCCUCAGCAGGAAAAGCGUUCACAGCAACCUUAUUUAAACUGAGAGGUGGAAAAAAGAAAACAACCCAGACGUCCCUUGCUCACACUUGUGGAGCGCUCACACUACGCGAGGUGCCGGACACGCAUUAGCUCUUUGAUCCUUUCCACUGCUCUGUGAGUUGUGGUUUAUGAACCUCCCAUUUUACAAUAAGCAGGGGACACAACAGAGGCCAGCCCUCCCUCCACAGCCGCUCAGGGGCUCAGAGCUGAGGCACCUCAGCGCCACCUGGAGCUUGGGUUCCCCUCCCUCCAAGCUGUUUCUUAGCAACAUGAGGCAACCUUGUCUGCGAAAGAGGAGGUGACCGCAGCUCCUGGGGAUGUGCCAACUCUGGGAUGUGACGGGAAGACAAAGGGCUUCUGUCCCCUUCUGCCUGGCGGUAAGAGAGCCGGCCGCCCGGCAGGCAUGCCCCAGCCUGUGGUUCUGGAAUGCGGGCAAGCCACCGUCCCCAGAGACCUGUGUUGGUGGCCAGGCCAGCCCACACACCCGAUUGGCACAUACUCUUGUGCUUGCCCAGGAGCGGAGUCAGACCAUUCACGCUGCCUUCAUGGGAGUUGAACAGUUGAACUGAUGCCCUUAAACCCAGUGUUUCCCUCUGGGAAGACGCCCGGGGGCCUCGUGGUUGUAGGUGCUGGAAGGAUAGCUCCAGCUCCAGGCACCUGCCACAUAAAGGUAGUUGUGAAAUUUCGGACAUGCUCUUGGCACAGGGCAGAGGUUGGGGAUCUCUUGCCUGUGCGGAGAGGACAAGGGGACAAGGGGACGUGCCUGAGGCUGGUGUGGGUGUUGAUGUGACCUCUGCUCUUGGGGUCCAGUCUCCCCAACUCUGGCUGGCCUGGAUGAGUGUGCCAGAAAUGGGACUCUGGCCAUCGCAGUCCACUGGGUGCCCUGUGUGGUAGGCACAGUGUCCAGGGGAAUAGCUGUUUGUCUCCAAUGAUUGUUCUCUUCUUCUCGGCUGAGCUGGGGGCUCAUGUGUCUUUAAUACUGGCCAACUCCUGCUUACCCCCCGCUCCAUCUGAGAGAGCAGGCCCCAGGCUCCUGGCGUGUGCAGGUGGCAGUUUACGAACACACUGUGACAGCAUCUGAAAUCCUGGUCAAUACUAAACACGACUGAUGGCCACUGUGCUUAUUUUCAGAGUCAUCUGCAAAGCAAGUGAUACUGGUUUUCCAUUUACAUUGGUGCAACAGAAUUUCCUUUUAAAAUAGACAUUUAUUUAUUUAUUGUAUUUACUUUUUUGAGACAGGGUCUCACUCUGUCCCCCAGGUUGGGGUACAGUGGUGCAGUCUUGGUUCACUGCAACCUCCACCUCCUGGGUUCAAGUGAUCCUCCAGCCUCAGCCUCCCAAGUAGUUGGGACUACAGGCAUGUGCCACCAUGCCAAGCUAAUUUUUGUAUUUUUGGUAGAGAUGGGGUUUCACCAUGUUGACCAGGCUGGUCUCGAACUCCUAACCUCAAGUGAUCCAUAGGCCUCGGCCUCCCAAAGGGCUAAAAUAAACAUUUAAGUAAAAAAAAAAAGAAAAAAAUCUGAGUCAUUUUAAAGAAAAGUAUGAAACAAAUGGUAGACCAGAUGAGAUGGUCAAGGUCACAGAGGGAGCCUCAGAAUGCAUGAAGUUUGGGAACCCUGGGCAAGGGCCCUCCUUAGCCCCUGGCAAGGUCACUCCGGAUGGUGUGGGUCUUACCAGCCUCUCCUCAUCCUGGCCUUGUUUUAGUCGCCAGGGCCUGGGUGGCAGAUUCUUGAGUCUCUGGGAUCUUUGCCCUCCCCUCUGCUUCUCCCUCUUUCUCUCCUUGUUCCUCCUUCUCCUUCUUCACUGAUCAAGCUCAAGAAGCACCCAGCAGGUCCACCGCAGACCCCUCCCAUCCCAUCUUGCUUUGAGGCUUUCCUCAUGGGACAGGGUUGGCCUGUCCUGAUUGUGGAGUCUCCACUUCCCCACUCAACCCCGCUUGCAUCUUCCUUCAUCUGCCCAGUGCACCGAGGCUGCCCAUCAGAGUCACCUGAGGGGCUCUUAGGAGAUGCCCCGGCCUAACCGCCUGCCAGUUGAGUCAGAAUCCCUGGUGGAGGGACAUCCUAACAACUCUCUCCUUCAAGGAGCCUGGCCUGACGGGAGGAGUGUUUCCCUGUCCCUGUCGCCCAGGGGUUCAUUUUCGGGCGGAUGAACAAUGGCUGCAGAGCAUAGAAGCCCAGCUCCACUUCCCUGAAGGACCCAGGUUCCUUCCACAUUUCUGCUCGGUCACCCUCAGUGUGGUGUCUUUCAGUUGCUUCAUGGUCACGAAGUGGCUGCGGCUGCUCAGAGGCUCCUGACAUCACAGCAGCUGCACCAGCAGGACAGCAGGGAGAGGGCUUGCAUCUCAGUGGCUAAAACUGGGUCACAUGGCUGCCGCCAGCUGCAAGGAGGCUGAAAGGCAAGUCUCGGGCAGAGGGCAGUGGGAUGCCUAUGAUUAGGCCAGUCCUGAUUCAUCCCUAGGGCUAGGCAUGUGGCUGGCCCAACAGAACUGCUAUUUUGGUAGCAAAGGAAGAAAUAAGAAACAGCUUUUGAGAGUGCAGCCAAGAGUAAGUGUGACAAGGAAACAUAAAUAUCAUGUGCCGGCUGGGCGCGGUGGCUCGCGCCUGUAAUCCCAGCACUUUGGGUCGAGGAGCGCGUGGAUCACUUGAGGUCAGGAAAUUUAGACCAGCAUGGCCAACACAGUGAAACCCCAUCUCUACUAAAAUACAAUAAUUAGCCAUGCGUGAUGGCAGGUGCCUGUAAUCCUAGCUUCUCGGGAGGCUGAGGCAGGAACCCGGGAGGUGGAGGUUUCAGUGAGUCGAGAUCAUGCCACAGCACUCCAGUCUGGGCAACAGAGCGAGAUUCCAUCUCAAAAAAAAAAAAACAAAAUCUAUGUGCCUCCCACUGACAGAUAUUCAUUUUUUUGUUGGCAUCCCCUACACUCAGAAUAUACAUUCUAGGUGGGAAUUUUUGUCUGUUUUGUUCUCUGCUGUAUCUUCAAGAUCUACAACCGUGUCUGGCACCGUGUAGAUGCCUAAUAAGUAUUUGUGGAGUAAAUGGCCAACCCUACGACGUGGGUACCCCUGUUAGCCCUGCUUUCUAGUUGUGAAACAGGCCCAGAAAGGUUCGGCAACUUGCUGGGGACACAGGGACCUCUAGCUGAUGCAGCCUAGAGUUGAGCCCUUGGGGAGCUGGCCCCAGAGCUGGUGCACUCCGCCCUGCAGAGCCCUGCCUCUCCUGCUGGGCUGGGAGCCGAAGCUGGUGGUUCUAGGCUCAAAUUCUUGCUCUACGGUGACCAGCUGUGUGACCCAGGGCAGUCUCCAUCUCUCUGGGAUUUGCUCCUUGUCUGCACAGAGAAACAAGCCUUUCCUCUUAAGGGUGCCUGUGCAUUCCAGGAGGCGGUCAUAAGCACAGCUCUUAACAGAGUCUGGCACCCAGCAGCUUCCUGGCUAUUGCUGGCUAUUGUUGCUCUCCCAUAUUAUAGGGGGGGCAACCAAGAAGCAACCAGAAGAUGUUCAAUGUCACAGAGCCUGUGGGUUCAAAGGCAG